AAUCAACGCUGGCGGCGUGCCUAACACAUGCAAGUCGAACGAGAUUAUCCAGCUUGCUGGAUAUGAAAGUGGCGCACGGGUGCGUAACGCGUAUGCAACCUACCUUAAUCAGGGGGAUAGCCUCUCGAAAGAGAGAUUAACACCGCAUAAAAUCACAAGCUGGCAUCAGCAAAUGAUCAAAUAUUUAUAGGAUUAAGAUG
rnacentral:rRNA from 1 species